UUACCUCUGUGUUGUAGCUAACGCGUUAAGCACUCCGCCUGGGGACUACGGUCGCAAGACUAAAACUCAAAGGAAUUGACGGGGACCCGCACAAGCGGUGGAGCAUGUGGUUUAAUUCGAUGCAACGCGAAAAACCUUACCACUUCUUGACAUGGAGGYUAGAUCCUUCUUAACAGAAGGGCGCAGUUCGGCUGGGCCUCGCACAGGUGCUGCAUGGCUGUCGUCAGCUCGUGUCGUGAGAUGUUGGGUUAAGUCCCGCAACGAGCGCAACCCUCAUCCUUAGUUACCAGCGGGUAAAGCCGGGCACUUUAAGGAAACUGCCAGUGAUAAACUGGAGGAAGGUGGGGAUGAUGUCAAGUCAGCACGGCCCUUAUGGGGUGGGCUACACACGUGCUACAAUGGCGACUACAAUAGGUUGCAUGGUCGCAAGA
rnacentral:rRNA from 1 species